GAGACCACGUAAAAUCCCACCACCCAAUUCCUAUUUCAAAUAAAACCCACCAUCCACCCAUUAUAUUUUUAUCCAAUUCAGAACUGUAUACCCUUCUCUCUCUCUCGUUCUAAUUCUUCCCUGUGCAAAAAGAACCAACGCCGUAGUUCCUCACUUAUCUCCCUCCGUCUUCUUUUCUUCUUCACAAAACAUAAUUUGCACAAAAAUCCAACAAUAAAAAUACACACUCAUAAGGAGAAUUUCAGUAUUCAAGUAGAAGGGAUUUGGAGAUAACAUUUUGAGAGUUAGGGUUUGUGCUCUGAAAGAGGAAAAGAGUACCCACCCUUUUAGGAUUGCUUAUUUUGGCUUCUUUGAGGUAUACCUACAACUUACAAUUUAAAUAGUAGUAUUAUAGCAUGUUAGAAUUAAGCAGAAUUAUACACCUCUAGUAUGCUAAAGGUUUGAAGUUAAUUUUUGUGUUCAGAUUCAACGACGAGUAGGUCGUUCAGUGGUCGUGGGACUGUUGAAAUCAAUUGCGUUGAUUCGUCGUAGUUGUGAGUGGUUUUCAACUGCUAUGCCAUAUUUUUAACAGUCUUAUAACUGAUUUAAUUACUUUAUUAUAUUGUCUAUUUAUCUAAAUUGGGGAAACAUGUUUUUAUAUGUUUGACUAUCAUUCUUGAACUCUGAAAGCUGAUUUUAUGAAGUUUAUUUGAUUCUGAUUAUGAACUGACAUGAGAAAGUAAUUUAUAUUGCUUUGAUUUUGGAAAUUAUGUGAAACUGAGAUUGUGAACUUGGAAAGUUGAUUAUGAGACUUUUGACGAGACUUGAAC
rnacentral:lncRNA from 1 species